rnacentral:rRNA from 1 species
UGGGGAAUUUUGGACAAUGGGCGCAAGCCUGAUCCAGCCAUGCUGCGUGCGGGAAGAAGGCCUUCGGGUUGUAAACCGCUUUUGUCAGGGAAGAAACGCUCUGGGCUAAUACCCUGGGGUAAUGACGGUACCUGAAGAAUAAGCACCGGCUAACUACGUGCCAGCAGCCGCGGUAAUACGUAGGGUGCAAGCGUUAAUCGGAAUUACUGGGCGUAAAGCGUGCGCAGGCGGUUAUGCAAGACAGAUGUGAAAUCCCCGGGCUCAACCUGGGAACUGCAUUUGUGACUGUAUAGCUAGAGUACGGUAGAGGGGGAUGGAAUUCCGCGUGUAGCAGUGAAAUGCGUAGAUAUGCGGAGGAACACCGAUGGCGAAGGCAAUCCCCUGGACCUGUACUGACGCUCAUGCACGAAAGCGUGGGGAGCAAACAGGAUUAGAUACCCAUGUAGUCCCUGAGCGGGCUGGCAAGGCGCAU